AGUGAACGCUGGCGGUAGGCCUAACACAUGCAAGUCGAACGGCAGCACAGGAGAGCUUGCUCUCUGGGUGGCGAGUGGCGGACGGGUGAGGAAUACAUCGGAAUCUACCUUUUCGUGGGGGAUAACGUAGGGAAACUUACGCUAAUACCAAAUACGACCUCCGGGUGAAGGUGGGGGACCGCAAGGCCUCACGCGAUUAAAGGAGCCGAUGUCCGAUUAGCUAGUGGGCGGGGUAAUGGCCCACCAAGGCGACGAUCGGUAGCUGGUCUGAGAGGAUGAUCAGCCACACUGGAACUGAGACACGGUCCAGACUCCUACGGGAGGCAGCAGUGGGGAAUAUUGGACAAUGGGCGCAAGCCUGAUCCAGCCAUACCGCGUGGGUGAAGAAGGCCUUCGGGUUGUAAAGCCCUUUUGUUGGGAAAGAAAUCCUGUCGAUUACUACUCGGUGGGGAUGACGGUACCCAAAGAAUAAGCACCGGCUAACUUCGUGCCAGCCGCCGCGGUAAUAC
rnacentral:rRNA from 1 species